rnacentral:lncRNA from 1 species
UGCAUGCAUGCGGGUGUUGAGAGUAAAAAUCCUUUGAUGCCGAGAAGCCACACAGGCGUGGACCUGCUUCGCCAAGCAGAAAGCGGGAGAGUGACGUGAUGUCACGCAGAGCUUGGUCCUGCUGGAGAUUUGGGGAAGUCUCAAGGAAAGAAACUGGUUCCAGACGUGAGAGUUUUAUUCCAAUAUGGCUUCCAGGAUCCCAGAGGACUCGACUUGUAGAGAGCAUCACUGGAGUCAGAAGGGCCGAGGUCCAGGGGCCAAGAACACACCUUGGUGCCAGAAGAAGUUCAUAAGUCUUGAAAUGCAGCAUCUCCUGAGGUAGAAUCAUUGGGCAGAACUCAUGAUAACAGAGCCUUCAAGAUGCGGAGUGAGGACAGGUGUGGGGGCUCACGCCUGUAAUCCCAACACUUUGGGAGGCCAAGGCGGUUGGAUCACCUAAGGUCAGGAGUUCAAGACCAGCCUGGCCAACAUGGUGAAAUCCCGUUUUUACUAAAAAUACGAAGAAUUAGCUGGAUGUGGUGACGCCUGCCUGUAAUCCCAGCUACUUGGGAGGCUGAGGCAGGAAAAUCACUUGAACCUGGGAGGUAGAGGUUGCAGUGAGCUGAGAUUGCACCACUGCACUUCAGCCUGGGCAACAGAGUGAGACUCCGUCUCAAAAAAACAAAAACAAAAACAAAAGAUGGUGAGCGAGUAAGAGCAAUAAAAAUAUUUGAAUGUGUGACUCCUACACUUUUUAACUUAGAUUUUUGGAAAAAAAAUCCUUACACAUUUUCAUCGUAAAGAUUCUCCUACUUGAGAAUCUUGGCAGUUGAUAAACUCAAAGCCAUUUUUAUUCCUUCCUGUAACUUUCAAGCAUUAUCCAUAAAUGCUAUACAGCCCCCAUCUUGCCCCAUCCUUCCACCCUUUUCCCAUCCUUCAAGCAGUUCUUGAAAAGCAGUUCUUGAAAUGACCCCAAAUAUGCCUGUUGCUUCCUGCUGAUGGUACUUAACCCUGACCAGAAAUGGAUUUAGUUAAGAUGUAUUUUUAAUGGUAGCAACAUGGCUAUAUAUAUUCACAUAUUCAUUUAUAUUUUAAGAGAUAAGGUCCU